UACGUAGGGUGCGAGCGUUAAUCGGAAUUACUGGGCGUAAAGCGUGCGCAGGCGGUUAUAUAAGUCAGAUGUGAAAUCCCCGGGCUCAACCUGGGAACUGCAUUUGAGACUGUAUGGCUAGAGUGUGGCAGAGGGGGGUGGAAUUCCACGUGUAGCAGUGAAAUGCGUAGAGAUGUGGAGGAACACCGAUGGCGAAGGCAGCCCCCUGGGCCAAGACUGACGCUCAUGCACGAAAGCGUGGGGAGCAAACAGG
rnacentral:rRNA from 1 species